GGUUGUGAUCAUACUAGCACUAAUGCACCGAAUCCCAUCAGAACUUCGUAGUCAAGCGUGCCUGGGCGAGAGUAGUACUAGGAUGGGUGACCUCCUGGGAAGUCGUCGUGUUGCACCCC